rnacentral:rRNA from 1 species
GUCCACGCUGUAAACGAUGUGUGCUAGACGUUGGGGGGUUGCCUCCCGGUGUCGCAGCUAACGCGGUAAGCACACCGCCUGGGGAGUACGGCCGCAAGGUUAAAACUCAAAGGAAUUGACGGGGGCCCGCACAAGCGGUGGAGCAUGUGGUUCAAUUCGACGCAACGCGAAGAACCUUACCAGCUCUUGACAUGGGUAGUAUGGGCCUGGGCGACUGGGUCCUUCAGUUCGGCUGGCUACCACACAGGUGCUGCAUGGCUGUCGU